UACGUAGGGGGCGAGCGUUGUCCGGAUUUAUUGGGCGUAAAGAGCUCGUAGGCGGUUUGGUAAGUCGGGUGUGAAAUCUCCACGCUCAACGUGGAGGGGCCACUCGAUACUGCCAUGACUCGAGUCCGGUAGAGGAGUGUGGAAUUUCCGGUGUAGCGGUGAAAUGCGUAGAUAUCGGAAGGAACACCAGUGGCGAAAGCGACUUCCUGGUCCAGCACCGACGUUCAGGCACGAAAGCGUGGGGAGCAAACAGG
rnacentral:rRNA from 1 species